rnacentral:rRNA from 1 species
AUUGAACGCUGGCGGCAUGCCUUACACAUGCAAGUCGAACGGCAGCACGGGGCAACCUGGUGGCGAGUGGCGAACGGGUGAGUAAUAUAUCGGAACAUACCCUAGAGUGGGGGAUAACGUAGCGAAAGUUACGCUAAUACCGCAUACGAACUAAGGUUGAAAGUGGGGGAUCGCAAGACCUCAUGCUCAUGGAGUGGCCGAUAUCUGAUUAGCUAGUUGGUGAGGUAAAGGCUCACCAAGGCGACGAUCAGUAGCUGGUUUGAGAGAACGACCAGCCACACUGGAACUGAGACACGGUCCAGACUCCUACGGGAGGCAGCAGUGGGGGAAUUUUGGACAAUGGGGGGCAACCCUGAUCCAGCAAUGCCGCGUGAGUGAAGAAGGCCUUCGGGUUGGUUAAAGUACGUAC